GAUGAACGCUGGCGGCGUGCCUAAUACAUGCAAGUCGAGCGAACGGACGAGAAGCUUGCUUUUCUGAUGUUAGCGGCGGACGGGUGAGUAACACGUGGAUAACCUACCUAUAAGACUGGGAUAACUUCGGGAAACCGGAGCUAAUACCGGAUAAUAUUUUGAACCGCAUGGUUCAAAAGUGAAAGACGGUCUUGCUGUCACUUAUAGAUGGACCCGCGCUGCAUUAGCUAGUUGGUAAGGUAACGGCUUACCAAGGCAACGAUGCAUAGCCGACCUGAGAGGGUGAUCGGCCACACUGGAACUGAGACACGGUCCAGACUCCUACGGGAGGCAGCAGUAGGGAAUCUUCCGCAAAGGGCGAAAGCCUGACGGAGCAACGCCGCGUGAGUGAUGAAGGUCUUCGGAUCGUAAAACUCUGUUAUUAGGGAAGAACAUAUGUGUAAGUAACUGUGCACAUCUUGACGGUACCUAAUCAGAAAGCCACGGCUAACUACGUG
rnacentral:rRNA from 1 species